ACAAGCUUUCAGGAGAACCUCCCUUUCUCAAGUCUGAAGCAUUUCUGAGCAAAACGAAAUGCUUCAGACUUGAGAAAGGGAGGUUCUCCCGAAAGCUUG
rnacentral:miRNA from 1 species